CAGCAGCCACGGGAAUACAGAGGGUGCAAGCGUUAAUCGGAUUUACUGGGCGUAAAGGGCGCAUAGGUGGUUAUGUAAGUGAGAUGUGAAAUCCCCGGGCUCAACCUGGGAACUGCAUCUUAUACUGCGUAGCUGGAGUGCAGUAGAGGGUAGUGGAAUUUCCGGUGUAGCGGUGAAAUGCGUAGAUAUCAGAAGGAACACCAGUGGCGAAGGCGGCUACCUGGACUGACACUGACACUGAGGCGCGAAAGCGUGGGGAGCAAACAGGAUUAGAUACCCCCGUAGUCCCUGUCUCUUAUAC
rnacentral:rRNA from 1 species